rnacentral:lncRNA from 1 species
GUGUGGAGACUGUUAGACCAAAUUUUAGUGAGAAAAUAUAUACUUGGGUUGUGUUUAGUGGAAGUACUAACCUGGGGGUUAAAGGGAGAAAAUGUAUUUUAUGAUAGAAGUGGUUAGUGUUUUGUGUGGAUGAGGAGAUGCAGUAAAGAGUAGGAAGUUCUGUGAAAAUGGAUUAAAAAAAGAGAGAGUAGGGAGGGUCUUAGGUUAGAGAAUAUAGAAAGAAAAAUGGGUUUCCUUUCUCCUAUGUAGAGGUUACGAAAAAAAAUUAAGUGGGGAGAUUGGGUGGUACAAUUGUAGGGUGAAGUUGCUAGAAGAAGAAAAAGGGGUUGUUGUGUUGUGGUAGAAAAAUAAAAGGAAGGUAGUGAAAUGUCUAUGUUUACGGAGUGUAUUAGGAAGAGGUUAUAAGUUUGUGUGCACCAGUGAAAGAGGGUAAUUAAAAAUGCAAGUGAGUAGUGAGAGAAAUGUUAAGUUGUUGAUUUUAGGGGAAGAAGAAGUUUUUAUGGCCUAACCUUAGUGUUGCAUCAGGUUAACUCAAGAGAUUAGGUGUGAUAGUUUCCGUGGGAUUAUCUGAAAGUAGAUGUGGUUAUAGUGUAGCUUUGGGGAAAUAUUAUGUGACCUUUCAUGAGCAGAAAGUGAUAGAUUGUGGUUAUUGUGAAGAGAAAUAAAGAAAGCUUGAGUGGUUGGGUCUUUGAACAAUGAGGAUGAAAAGGGAUGGGAGGAUGGGUGUGCACGGGUUGCUUAUCCAUGGAAUGAAAUUUUGCAUAAAAAUUACGUGGAAGGAAUAUAUAAGGUUUUAUAAAAUAAAAGGAGAAGAGGGAGUUAAAAGAAAAAGGAAAUUACAAUAAGUGUGGAUAUUAAAAGAAAAAACAGGUUGUUGGAAUGAAAAAAAAUAAGAUAAUAUGUGAUAUUAAUAUAAUAUAG